UACGAAGGGGGCUAGCGUUGUUCGGAAUCACUGGGCGUAAAGGGCGCGUAGGCGGCUUUGUAAGUCGGGGGGUGAAAGCCCGAGGCUCAACCUCGGAACUGCCUUCGAUACUGCGGGUCUCGAGUCCGGGAGAGGUGAGUGGAAUUCCUAGUGUAGAGGUGAAAUUCGUAGAUAUUUAGGAAGAACACCAGUGGCGAAGGCGGCUCACUGGCCCGGUACUGACGCUGAGGCGCGAAAGCGUGGGGGAGCAAACAGG
rnacentral:rRNA from 1 species